rnacentral:lncRNA from 1 species
AGUGUGAAGGGAAGGCUAAGGACGCAUCGGUGCUGGAGAGUUGAGAAUAUGCCUUCCCCUCCACCCCCAACCCAGUCACCUUAUUUGAAAAAAAAUUAAAAAACACCUUUUAUUUAAAAACCUAACCCUGGAAGUUUGCUCGCUGACAUCAGGGGAGCAACGUGAACACAGGAAAAUGGAAAUCAACAUUUGAAACUUUUAAAUGGAAGCUUUAUUGGGGUUCCACAUAUGGAAAACUGCAAAUAGCAGAAGUAUGUGACUCAAUAAAUUAUUCUGGAGUGACCACAUCCUCUAACUGCCUCCCAGGACAAGACGGAGAAUGUGAACAAUGCUCCUGAAGGCCCCUUUCCCUCAAAGAAUCACUGCAAUUGAAGGAAAAAUGCUCCAUGUCCCCUCUGCCAGUUGGUGUUUAUCAAAGGACAACGGAGGAAGAGAGACAAAGUGCCUGGAUGUGUGUGUUAAUCAAGAGUUGUCAGGACCCUGCCUCUAAAAGAAAGCGCUAAAAUGAUGCUUUUGACAAGACUUUUCUCAAAGUGGAUGCAGUCUAAGGGUUGGAAAACAAGGCCCAAUCAGGCUAGGUCUGACUUGUCGCCUGCUUUUGUAAAUAAAGUUUUAUUGGCUCACAGACA